rnacentral:tmRNA from 1 species
GGGGCUGACUUUAAGUUAGACGCAUGUUCCUUAACAACCCAAUUCGCGCAAGUUGGUGCGAUUCGCCAUUACCGAAUCAAUCAAUAAUUGCAGUUAGCAAUAAUUCAGGCGGGCGCUUGCAGCCCGUCGCCGUUUAGACCAGUCUAAACGGGGCUCCUGUCUCAUUGGGCCGAUCCCGUGCCCGGAGAUCUGGGGCGUGUCAUAUCAACGGGGUUGCCCGAACGUCUGGUCGGCGUUCGGAAAGACCAUAGCGACCUGCGUUGCCCAAGUUCCGUUUGGCCUGCUUUUCAGGUUCUCGGGCAACAAAGACAAAAUCUUAAGCGGGCUAAACUUGUAAAGCGAGGUGUUGUUCGAAUGUGACGGACGCGGGGGCGGUGCCCGCCAGCUCCACCA